rnacentral:rRNA from 1 species
GACGAACCGUGCGAACGUUAUUCGGAAUCACUGGGCUUAAAGCGCGUGUAGGCGGACGGGCACGUCCGUUGCUGAAAUCCCCCGGCUCAACCGGGGAACGGGCGCGGAUACGACUCUUCUGGAGGGGCGUAGGGGGACCUGGAACUUCCGGUGGAGCGGUGAAAUGCGUUGAGAUCGGAAGGAACGCCCGUGGCGAAAGCGAGGUCCUGGACGCCUACUGACGCUGAGACGCGAAAGCCAGGGGAGCGAACGGG